AAAUUACUUUAAGAAUUCGAUCUCUGUUCUAGUAAAUUUGGUUUACUGGACUGUAUGUUGUUUUAUUCUUGUGUGAAAUUAGGGGUUUUCAAGUGGGUUUUUUGCCUGUUUCCUUUCUUUGGGUUUUUUCAGUUGUCAAAGUGAGAUUCUUUUGAGUUUAAUUUUUAAUGGGCUCUUUUAACUUGCAUACUUUUUGAACAAAAGCAUGGUAAAUGCUUUUCUUCCUUGUAUGGACAGAGAAAUUUCUUGAGGUUAUUUUCCCUUUAGCAAAUUUUGACGUAAUUGCACUUAAAUCGAGCUUGACUCUAAGCCAUUCUUUGUACUUAUUGAAAUUGUGAUAUGUCUGCUUUAUUAUAAUUGAAUGACUGUUUUUGCUUGUUUGAUAGAAACAACUUCUCUUGUUUGACAAUAUCUUUUAAAAAUGUCAUACUUGCAACUUUAGUUUUCUGGAUUAGAAAAUUUUACUAGAUUAUUCCUGUAAUGAUCUAAUUUGAAGGGUGAAUAAGCUUUGUACAUACUGAUGUCAUUCUAUUUUAGCAACCAUUGCUUUUCUAUUUCAGGAUAUAUGAAAGAAGCUGUUGAAUCAAAUUGGUGUAGGAGUGGAGGGGUUUACAUCCCUCCUUUUAAGUAGGCUCGAAUGAUGAAGGAAGUUCAAGAUAAAAGCAGUGUUGUGUACCAAAGGUUGACAUGGACGCUCUUCGUAAGAGUAUUGAUGGGCUUGUGAACAAGAUUAAUGCCAGCAACAUUAAGAAUAUUAUUCCAGAACUGUUUUUGGAGAAUCUGAUUCGAGGGAGGGGU
rnacentral:misc_RNA from 1 species